CCUACGGGGGGCAGCAGUGAGGAAUAUUGGUCAAUGGCCGGAAGGCUGAACCAGCCAUGCCGCGUGAAGGUCAGUGCCCUAUGGGCGUUAAACUUCUUUUGUGCGGGAGCAAUAAUGGUCACGUGUGGCCAGACGAGAGUACCGUACGAAUAAGCAUUGGCUAACUCCGUGCCAGCAGCCGCGGUAAUACGGGGGAUGCAAGCGUUAUCCGGAUUUAUUGGGGUUAAAGGGUGCGUAGGCUGUGAGGUAAGUCAGCGGUGAAAUGCCCCCGCUCAACGGGGUGAAGUGCCAUUGAUACUGCCUUGCUGGAAUGCGGAUGCCGUGGGAGGAAUGUGUGGUGUAGCGGUGAAAUGCAUAGAUAUCACACAGAACACCGAUUGCGAAGGCAUCUCACGAAUCCGCGAUUGACGCUGAUGCACGAAAGCGUGGGUAUCAAACAGGAUUAGAUACCCCUGUAGUC
rnacentral:rRNA from 1 species